rfam:Deltaproteobacteria bacterium RIFCSPLOWO2_02_FTLL_53_8 rifcsplowo2_02_scaffold_16812, whole genome shotgun sequence.
UGCUUAUUUUGCCCAGGCGGAGCUCGACCGCCGACCGAGAUGAUGGUGGCGUUUAUCGACGCGCACCGUGCCGAACAUGGGGUCGAGCCGAUCUGCAAGCAAUUGCCGAUUGCCCCA